rnacentral:rRNA from 1 species
UACGAAGGGGGCUAGCGUUGCUCGGAAUUACUGGGACGUAAAGGGCGCGUAGGCGCACUGUUAGUCAGGCGUGAAAGUCCUGGGCUCAACCUGGGGAACUGCGCUUGAUACGGCAGAGCUAGAGGAUGGAAGAGGCUCGCGGAAUUCCCAGUGUAGAGGUGGAAAAUUCGUAGAUAUUGGGAAGAACACCAGUGGCGAAGGCGGCUCACUGGCCCGGUACUGGAACGCGUGAGGUGCGAAAGCGUCGGGGAGCAAACAGG